rnacentral:rRNA from 1 species
GAUGAACGCUGGCGGCGUGCCUAACACAUGCAAGUCGAACGAAGCACAUACGACGGAACUCUUCGGAGGGAAGAUGUAUGUGACUGAGUGGCGGACGGGUGAGUAACGCGUGGGUAACCUGCCCUAUACAGGGGGACAACAGUUGGAAACGACUGCUAAUACCGCAUAAGCGCACAGUACCGCAUGGUACAGAGCGAAAAACUCCGGUGGUAUAGGAUGGGCCCGCGUCUGAUUAGUUAGUUGGCGGUGUAACGGACCACCAAGACGACGAUCAGUAGCCGGCUUGAGAGAGUGAACGGCCACAUUGGGACUGAGACACGGCCCAAACUCCUACGGGAGGCAGCAGUGGGGAAUAUUGCACAAUGGGGGAAACCCUGAUGCAGCAACGCCGCGUGAGUGAAGAAGUAUUUCGGUAUGUAAAGCUCUAUCAGCAGGGAAGAAAAUGACGGUACCUGACUAAGAAGCCCCGGCUAACUACGUGC